rnacentral:rRNA from 1 species
GAUGAACGCUGGCGGCGUGCCUAAUACAUGCAAGUCGAGCGAACAGACGAGGAGCUUGCUCCUCUGACGUUAGCGUCGGACGGGUGAGUAACACGUGGAUAACCUACCUAUAAGACUGGGAUAACUUCGGGAAACCGGAGCUAAUACCGGAUAAUAUAUUGAACCGCAUGGUUCAAUAGUGAAAGACGGUUUUGCUGUCACUUAUAGAUGGAUCCGCGCCGCAUUAGCUAGUUGGUAAGGUAACGGCUUACCAAGGCAAUGAUGGGUAGCCGAGCUGAGAGGGUAAACGGACACAAUGGAACUGAGACACGGUGCAGACUCCGACGGGAGGCAGCAGGAGGGAAACUAACGCAAUGGGCGAAAGGGUGACGGAGCAGCGCAGCGUGAGUGAUGAAGGUCUUCGGAUCGUAAAACUCUGUUAGUAGGGAAGAACAAAUGUGUAAGUAACUAUGCACGUAUUGACGGUACCGAAUCAGAAAGUCACGGCUAACUACGU